rnacentral:rRNA from 1 species
UACGAAGGGGGCUAGCGUUGCUCGGAAUCACUGGGCGUAAAGCGCACGUAGGCGGGUCGUUAAGUCGGGGGUGAAAUCCUGGAGCUCAACUCCAGAACUGCCUUCGAUACUGGCGAUCUUGAGUCUGGGAGAGGUGAGUGGAACUCCGAGUGUAGAGGUGAAAUUCGUAGAUAUUCGGAAGAAACACCAGUGGCGAAGGCGGCUCACUGGCCCGGUACUGACGCUGAGGUGCGAAAAGCGUGGGGAGCAAACAGG